UACGAAGGGGGCUAGCGUUGCUCGGAAUUACUGGGCGUAAAGCGCACGUAGGCGGAUUGUUAAGUCAGGGGUGAAAUCCUGGAGCUCAACUCCCAGAACUGCCUUUGAUACUGGAGAGCUUGAGUCCGGAAGAGGUGAGUGGAACUCCGAGUGUAGAGGUGAAAUUCGUAGAUAUUCGGAAGAACACCAGUGGCGAAGGGCGGCCAACUGGGCCCGGACCGU
rnacentral:rRNA from 1 species